rnacentral:rRNA from 1 species
UCAAGUGAAGAAGCGCAUACGGUGGAUGCCUUGGCAGUCAGAGGCGAUGAAAGACGUGGUAGCCUGCGAAAAGCUUCGGGGAGUCGGCAAACAGACUUUGAUCCGGAGAUGUCUGAAUGGGGGAACCCAGCCAUCAUAAGAUGGUUAUCUUGUACUGAAUACAUAGGUGCAAGAGGCGAACCAGGGGAACUGAAACAUCUAAGUACCCUGAGGAAAAGAAAUCAACCGAGAUUCCCUUAGUAGUGGCGAGCGAACGGGGACUAGCCCUUAAGUGGCUUUGAGAUUAGCGGAACGCUCUGGAAAGUGCGGCCAUAGUGGGUGAUAGCCCUGUACGCGAAAAUCUCUUAGUCAUGAAAUCGAGUAGGACGGAGCACGAGAAACUUUGUCUGAAUAUGGGGGGACCAUCCUCCAAGGCUAAAUACUACUGACUGACCGAUAGUGAACUAGUACCGUGAGGGAAAGGCGAAAAGAACCCCGGAGAGGGGAGUGAAAUAGAUCCUGAAACCGUAUGCGUACAAGCAGUGGGAGCCCACUUUGUUGGGUGACUGCGUACCUUUUGUAUAAUGGGUCAGCGACUUAUUUUCAGUGGCGAGCUUAACCGAAUAGGGGAGGCGUAGCGAAAGCGAGUCUUAAUAGGGCGUCUAGUCGCUGGGAAUAGACCCGAAACCGGGCGAUCUAUCCAUGGGCAGGUUGAAGGUUGGGUAACACUAACUGGAGGACCGAACCGACUACCGUUGAAAAGUUAGCGGAUGACCUGUGGAUCGGAGUGAAAGGCUAAUCAAGCUCGGAGAUAGCUGGUUCUCCUCGAAAGCUAUUUAGGUAGCGCCUCAUGUAUCACUGUAGGGGGUAGAGCACUGUUUCGGCUAGGGGGUCAUCCCGACUUACCAAACCGAUGCAAACUCCGAAUACCUACAAGUGCCGAGCAUGGGAGACACACGGCGGGUGCUAACGUCCGUCGUGAAAAGGGAAACAACCCAGACCGUCAGCUAAGGUCCCAAAGUUAUGGUUAAGUGGGAAACGAUGUGGGAAGGCUUAGACAGCUAGGAGGUUGGCUUAGAAGCAGCCACCCUUUAAAGAAAGCGUAAUAGCUCACUAGUCGAGUCGGCCUGCGCGGAAGAUGUAACGGGGCUCAAACCAUACACCGAAGCUACGGGUAUCACUUAGGUGAUGCGGUAGAGGAGCGUUCUGUAAGCCUGUGAAGGUGAGUUGAGAAGCUUGCUGGAGGUAUCAGAAGUGCGAAUGCUGACAUGAGUAACGACAAUGGGUGUGAAAAACACCCACGCCGAAAGACCAAGGUUUCCUGCGCAACGUUAAUCGACGCAGGGUUAGUCGGUCCCUAAGGCGAGGCUGAAAAGCGUAGUCGAUGGAAAACAGGUUAAUAUUCCUGUACUUCUGGUUAUUGCGAUGGAGGGACGGAGAAGGCUAGGCCAGCUUGGCGUUGGUUGUCCAAGUUUAAGGUGGUAGGCUGAGAUCUUAGGUAAAUCCGGGAUCUUAAGGCCGAGAGCUGAUGACGAGUUACCCUUUGGGUGACGAAGUGGUUGAUGCCAUGCUUCCAAGAAAAGCUUCUAAGCUUCAGGUAACCAGGAACCGUACCCCAAACCGACACAGGUGGUUGGGUAGAGAAUACCAAGGCGCUUGAGAGAACUCGGGUGAAGGAACUAGGCAAAAUGGCACCGUAACUUCGGGAGAAGGUGCGCCGGUGAGGGUGAAGCACUUGCUGCGUAAGCCCACGCCGGUCGAAGAUACCAGGCCGCUGCGACUGUUUAUUAAAAACACAGCACUCUGCAAACACGAAAGUGGACGUAUAGGGUGUGACGCCUGCCCGGUGCCGGAAGGUUAAUUGAUGGGGUUAGCUAACGCGAAGCUCUUGAUCGAAGCCCCGGUAAACGGCGGCCGUAACUAUAACGGUCCUAAGGUAGCGAAAUUCCUUGUCGGGUAAGUUCCGACCUGCACGAAUGGCGUAACGAUGGCGGCGCUGUCUCCACCCGAGACUCAGUGAAAUUGAAAUCGCUGUGAAGAUGCAGUGUAUCCGCGGCUAGACGGAAAGACCCCGUGAACCUUUACUAUAGCUUUGCACUGGACUUUGAAUUUGCUUGUGUAGGAUAGGUGGGAGGCUUUGAAGCGUGGACGCCAGUUCGCGUGGAGCCAUCCUUGAAAUACCACCCUGGCAACUUUGAGGUUCUAACUCAGGUCCGUUAUCCGGAUCGAGGACAGUGUAUGGUGGGUAGUUUGACUGGGGCGGUCUCCUCCUAAAGAGUAACGGAGGAGUACGAAGGUGCGCUCAGACCGGUCGGAAAUCGGUCGUAGAGUAUAAAGGCAAAAGCGCGCUUGACUGCGAGACAGACACGUCGAGCAGGUACGAAAGUAGGUCUUAGUGAUCCGGUGGUUCUGUAUGGAAGGGCCAUCGCUCAACGGAUAAAAGGUACUCCGGGGAUAACAGGCUGAUACCGCCCAAGAGUUCAUAUCGACGGCGGUGUUUGGCACCUCGAUGUCGGCUCAUCACAUCCUGGGGCUGAAGCCGGUCCCAAGGGUAUGGCUGUUCGCCAUUUAAAGUGGUACGCGAGCUGGGUUUAGAACGUCGUGAGACAGUUCGGUCCCUAUCUGCCGUGGACGUUUGAGAUUUGAGAGGGGCUGCUCCUAGUACGAGAGGACCGGAGUGGACGAACCUCUGGUGUUCCGGUUGUCACGCCAGUGGCAUUGCCGGGUAGCUAUGUUCGGAAAAGAUAACCGCUGAAAGCAUCUAAGCGGGAAACUUGCCUCAAGAUGAGAUCUCACUGGGACCUUGAGUCCCCUGAAGGGCCGUCGAAGACUACGACGUUGAUAGGUGGGGUGUGUAAGCGCUGUGAGGCGUUGAGCUAACCCAUACUAAUUGCCCGUGAGGCUUGACCAU